rnacentral:rRNA from 1 species
GUAGGCAGCAAGCGUUGUUCAGAAUUACUGGGCGUAAAGAGUGUGUAGGCGGUGUUCUAAGUUUGUCGUGAAAUCUCCCGGCUUAACUGGGAGGGUGCGGCGAAAACUGGAAUGCUAGAGGAUGGGAGAGGUAAGCGGAAUUCCUGGUGUAGCGGUGAAAUGCGUAGAUAUCAGGAGGAACACCUGUGGUGUAGACAGCUUACUGGACCAUUUCUGACGCUGAGACACGAAAGCGUGGGUAGCAAACAGGAUUAGAUACCCUGGUAGUCCACGCCCUAAACGAUGCAUACUUGGUGUGAGCGAUUCAUUUCGUUCGUGCCGGAGCUAACGCGUUAAGUAUGCCGCCUGGGGAGUACGGUCGCAAGGSUG